UACGGGGGGGGGCAAGCGUUGUUCGGAAUUACUGGGCGUAAAGGGCUCGUAGGCGGCCAACUAAGUCGGACGUGAAAUCCCCAGGCUCAACCUGGGAACUGCGUCCGAUACUGGAUGGCUUGAAUUCGGGAGAGGGAUGCAGAAUUCCAGGUGUAGCGGUGAAAUGCGUAGAUAUCUGGAGGAAUACCGGUGGCGAAGGCGGGUCUCUGGGCCGAUACUGACGCUGAGGAGCGAAAGCGUGGGGAGCGAACAGG
rnacentral:rRNA from 1 species